GACGAACGCUGGCGGCGUGCCUAAUACAUGCAAGUUGAGCGAUGAAGAUUGGUGCUUGCACCCAUUUGAAGAGCAGCGAACGGGUGAGUAACGCGUGGGGAAUCUGCCUUUGAGCGGGGGACAACAUUUGGAAACGAAUGCUAAUACCGCAUAACAACUUUAAACAUAAGUUUUAAGUUUGAAAGAUGCAAUUGCAUCACUCAAAGAUGAUCCCGCGUUGCAUUAGCUAGUUGGUGAGGUAAAGGCUCACCAAGGCGAUGAUACAUAGCCGACCUGAGAGGGUGAUCGGCCACAUUGGGACUGAGACACGGCCCAAACUCCUACGGGAGGCAGCAGUAGGGAAUCUUCGGCAAUGGACGAAAGUCUGACCGAGCAACGCCGCGUGAGUGAAGAAGGUUUUCGGAUCGUAAAACUCUGUUGGUAGAGAAGAACGUUGGUGAGAGUGGAAAGCUCAUCAAGUGACGGUAACUACCCAGAAAGGGACGGCUAACUACGUG
rnacentral:rRNA from 1 species